rnacentral:RNase_P_RNA from 1 species
GGUGCGGUAAGAGCGCACCGCAUGGCUGGUAACAGUUCAUGGCGAGGUAAACUCCACGCGUAGCAAGACCAAAUAGGUGUCCAUUACUUGUCGCCUGCAGGGGACACGGGUAGGUUGCUCGAGUGUACUGGCAACGGUACGCCUAGAUGAAUGAUCGUUCACGACAGAACCCGGCUUAUCGGUUUACCAAAACC